AAUACCGCAUAAGCCCUUAGCACUGCAUGGUGCAUAGGGAAAAGGAGCAAUCCGGUACAGGAUGGACCCGCGUCUGAUUAGCCAGUUGGCAGGGUAACGGCCUACCAAAGCGACGAUCACUAGCCGAUCUGAGAGGAUGUACGGCCACAUUGGGACUGAGACACGGCCCAGACUCCUACGGGAGGCAGCAGUGGGGAAUAUUGCACAAUGGAUGAAACUCUGAUGCAGCGACGCCGCGUGAGUGAAGAAGUAUUUCGGUAUGUAAAGCUCUAUCAGCAGGGAAGAA
rnacentral:rRNA from 1 species